CAACUACUCCCUCCGUCCAACAAAAGAUGUCUCAAGUUUGUCAAAAUUUGGAUGUAUCUAGACAUGACUUAGUGUAUAGAUGCAUUCAAAUUUAGUCAAAGUUGAGACAUCCUUUGUUGGACGGAGGAAGUAGAAG
rnacentral:pre_miRNA from 1 species